UACGAAGGGUGCAAGCGUUACUCGGAAUUACUGGGCGUAAAGGGUGCGUAGGUGGUCGUUUAAGUCCGUUGUGAAAUCCCUGGGCUCAACCUGGGAAUGGCAGUGGAUACUGGACGGCUAGAAUGCGGUAGAGGGUAGUGGAGUUCCCGGUGUAGCGGUGAAAUGCGCAGAUAUCGGGAGGAACACCAAUGGCGAAGGCAGCUUGCUGGGACGGUACUGACGCUGAGGCGCGAAAGCGUGGGGAGCAAACAGG
rnacentral:rRNA from 1 species